rnacentral:lncRNA from 1 species
GGUGUCAAAGUCACAUUUAUAAAGUUCUGUUUCUAUACCUCUGUCUCUCCCUCUCUCUACCUGUCUGUCCAUCUCUCUCUCUCCGUCUCUUUACUUGUCUCUCCAUAUGUCUCUCUCCCUCUCUUUACCUGUCUGUCCAUCUCUCUCUCUCCCUCUCUUUACCUGUCUGUCCAUCUCUCUCUCUCCCUCUCUUUACCUGUCUGUCCAUCUCUUCUAUCAUUUUCUUUCCCUGUCUGUCAAUCUCUCAAUCCCCUCUUAACCUGUCUGUCCACCUCUCUCUCCCUCUCUUUACCUGUCUGUCCAUCUCUCUCUAUCCCUCUCUUUACCUGUCUGUUCAUCUCUCUCCCCCUCUCUUUACCUCUCUGUCCAUCUCCCUCUCUUAACCUGUCUGUCCAUCUCUCUACCUCUCUUAACCUGUCUGUCCAUCUCUCUACCUCUCUUUACUUGUCUGUCCAUCUGUCUCUCUCUCUCCUUCUCUUUACCUGUCUGUCCAUCUGUGUCUCCUUCUCUUUACCUGUCUGUCCAUCUGUCUCUCUCUCUCUUUACCUGUCUCUCCAUCUGUCUCUCCUUCUCUUUACCUGUCUGUCCAUCUCUCUCCCUCUCUUUACCUGUCUGUCCAUCUCUCUCCCUCUUUACCUGUCUGUCCAUCUCUCUCCCUCCCUUUUACUGUCUGUCCAUCUGUCUCUCCCUCUCUUUACCUGUCUCUCCUUCUCUUUACCUGUCUGUCCACCUGUCUCUCCCUCUCUUUUCCUGUCUCUCCACCUGUCUCUCCUUCUCUUUACCUGCCUGUCCAUCUGUCUCUCCCUCUCUUUUCCUGUCUGUCCAUCUGUCUCUCCCUCUCUUUACCUGUCUGUCCAUCUGUCUCUCCUUCUCUUUAUCUGUCUGUCCAUCUGUCUCUCCUUCUCUUUACCUGCCUGUCCAUCUGUCUCUCCCUCUCUUUUCCUGUCUGUCCAUCUGUCUCUCCCUCUCUUUACCUGUCUGUCCAUCUGUCUCUCCUUCUCUUUAUCUGUCUGUCCAUCUGUCUCUCCUUCUCUUUACCUGUCUGUCCAUCUCUCUCUCUCUCGCUGCUUCACCUCCAAAAUAAGGAGAAGUGUCCGGAUGUAG